ACUUGUAGCCACACCACUGUGACAACGCCUGAUCCCGGAAGCUGAGUGCGGUCGGGUCCGGUUCGUACUUGGACGGGUCUCACGUGAACCACUAACUCUGAACCUA
rnacentral:rRNA from 1 species